GCGCCUGUAGCUCAAUUGGAUAGAGCACGAGUCUUCGAAACUCGCGGUUGCAGGUUCGAUUCCUGUCGGGCGCGCCA
rnacentral:tRNA from 1 species